rnacentral:lncRNA from 1 species
ACACGACUAUCCAGUAUUGUUCAAUCCACUUACCAAUCGUCCCAUAGAUUGUCCUUAUGAUGCCAAGGAAGUCCAGAAGUUCGCCAUGCACAAGCUUGUCGGAGUGCCAAUGGUACGCAUCCAUUCCCAAUUCUUGUCUCCUAUUCGUCGUAUUUCUGCUAACUGUCAUGGAUAUAUAUUGCUGUUAGCACAACAUUUUCGAUUCUGCGUGCAAUUUCUUGAAAUGUAUGUAGUUAAGCGACUUCAAGAAUCGAGUUACACUAGCUGCCCGUAUUGAUUUUGUAUGCAGAAAGCUGAGGAAAACCCCUUUUCGAUGCUGAGGAAAUGGUAUGAUUUUGGUAAAAUGUUAAGUGUUAUACCUUCUUUAACAGUAGAAGCAUUGACUAUGAUAUUAGAGUAUAUAAAUAUCCUGAUUUAAGUCUCAAAAAACAAAAAAUAAAAAAUUGAGCAGGGAACAAAUACUUACGCGACCAUCUCUUAACUCGAAUAUGACUGAAUCUUCAUUGAAUGGAAUUGGUCGUGUAGACGCUACCUGUAUAUAAAUUCAUCAGGAAAUACUAAAAUAGUAUAAAAUCAUGAAUCUGAUAAUCAAUGCAGAUUAGGACUAACCUUUAGAUCACAGUUUUUGUUUGUAGCUUGAAGGUUUUCUUCAACUUUCUCAAAACUAGCAUCAAAAUCUUUGUCUAUACAAAUUUCUUCAUCUCUUGAUUUUUCUUCGACCUGUCUCUCAUUGUUAUCGAUUUUAUUUCCUAGGUAAGGAAAGCCACAAUCCCUCCAUUUCCAUGUUCUUUGAUCGAAGUACCUUAAAUAAACAUUACCAUCUGAACCUAUUAAGAACAGUUCAGUUCCUCCAAAACAAGGUCCAGGUGAUCCAACCAAGGUCACAUUCGUACAUG